GCUCUUGGCACAUGGGUAGAUUAAAGAUGUAUAGAGGAAGGAGGAGAGCAUUUUAGCUGGAGGCAGUAAAGGAAGUUGAAUUAUGAGUGAGAGAUAGAUCUGAUAGGAAAAGGAAGGAAAUUAAAGACAGGCUGGGUUAUGGAGCCCCUUGACUUCAGGCUGACUUAAAGCAGUAGGCAACAGGGAAUCGCCAAAAGCUGCUGGGCAAGUAACCGUGGUAACGGUCCUAUGGGGGCAAGAUGUCUCUGGCAGCCAGUGCCAGGUGGAUUGCAAAGGGACCGAGUAGGAGGGCUGGAACUCAGGACAAGGUGCUGAGGGAUGCUGGAAAGGAAAGCUUGGUGGACGCGCUGACUCCUGGCACAUUAAGAAUGAAGAAAGUGGUGCCAUCCAAAUGGUUUCUCCGAACUUGACCUCCACAGGCUGGGAGAAUAACAGCAUCUCCACCAGGAAGUGUGGUUGGGCACCGAGGAGAGAAUGUGCUUUGUGUAGACCCAAGGAUGGGCAAAAGGCUCUUAGGAAGAUGGCAGGGGUUCACAGAUGCAGUGCCCAAGUCUCUCUGGCCACGGAAUCCCCCAGAGUUCUUAAUUCUUCUACUGGUCCCCUUUGUGUAAAUAAAGC
rnacentral:lncRNA from 1 species